rnacentral:rRNA from 1 species
UACGUAGGGUGCAAGCGUUAAUCGGAAUUACUGGGCGUAAAGCGUGCGCAGGCGGUUGUGCAAGACAGAUGUGAAAUCCCCGGGCUCAACCUGGGAACUGCAUUCGAAACUGGCAGGCUAGAGUCUUGUAGAGGGGGGUAGAAUUCCAGGUGUAGCGGUGAAAUGCGUAGAGAUCUGGAGGAACAUCUGUGGCGAAGGCGGCCAUCUGGACCAGCACUGACACUGAGGCACGAAAGCGUGGGGAGCAAACAGG